AUUGAACGCUGGCGGCAUGCUUUACACAUGCAAGUCGAACGGUAACAGGCCGCAAGGUGCUGACGAGUGGCGAACGGGUGAGUAAUGCAUCGGAACGUGCCCAGUCGUGGGGGAUAACGCAGCGAAAGCUGCGCUAAUACCGCAUACGAUCUAUGGAUGAAAGCGGGGGACCGUAAGGCCUCGCGCGAUUGGAGCGGCCGAUGUCAGAUUAGGUAGUUGGUGGGGUAAAGGCUCACCAAGCCAACGAUCUGUAGCUGGUCUGAGAGGACGACCGGCCACACGGGGACUGAGACACGGCCCAGACUCCUACGGGAGGCAGGAGUGGGGAAUUUUGGACAAUGGGCGAAAGCCUGAUCCAGCAAUGCCGCGUGAAGGAAGAAGGCCUUCGGGUUGUAAACUGCUUUUGUACGGAACGAAACGGUCCUGGUUAAUACCCGGGGCUAAUGACGGUACCGUAAGAAUAAGCACCGGCUAACUACGUGCCAGCCGCCGCAGUAAAAC
rnacentral:rRNA from 1 species